rnacentral:rRNA from 1 species
GAGUUUGUAUCAUGGCUCAGGAUGAACGCUGGCGGCGUGCUUAACACAUGCAAGUCGAGGCGAAGCGGCUGAAUUGAUUCUUCGGAUGAUUUUCAGUUGACUGAGCGGCGGACGGGUGAGUAACGCGUGGGUGACCGUGCCCCAGUACCGGGGAUAACAGCUGGAAACGGCUGCUAAUACCGCAUAAGCGCACAGAGCUGCAUGGCUCCGUGUGAAAAACUCCGGUGGUAUGGGAUGGG